GACGUAGGAGACGAGCGUUGUCCGGAUUUACUGGGCGUAAAGCGCGCGCAGGCGGCCCCGCAGGUCGGGCGUGAAAGCCCCCGGCUCAACCGGGCGGAGGCGAGCGAAACCGCGGGGCUGGAGGCUGGCAGAGGGUGGUGGAAUUCCCGGUGUAGUGGUGAAAUGCGUAGAGAUCGGGAGGAACACCCGCGGCGAAGGCGGCCACCUGGACCAGGCCUGACGCUGAGGCGCGAAAGCCGGGGGAGCGAACGGG
rnacentral:rRNA from 1 species